UACGGAGGAUCCGAGCGUUAUCCGGAUUUAUUGGGUUUAAAGGGAGCGUAGGUGGAUUGUUAAGUCAGUUGUGAAAGUUUGCGGCUCAACCGUAAAAUUGCAGUUGAAACUGGCAGUCUUGAGUACAGUAGAGGUGGGCGGAAUUCGUGGUGUAGCGGUGAAAUGCUUAGAUAUCACGAAGAACUCCGAUUGCGAAGGCAGCUCACUAGACUGCAACUGACACUGAUGCUCGAAAGUGUGGGUAUCAAACA
rnacentral:rRNA from 1 species